AACUCGCUGUUCGGUAGCGGGACCGCGUGUCCUAGGGCCGUGGGUUUAGCUGUCGGUCCCUACGUUUAACGCAGUAGCUCAGCUUCUCCCGGCGGACGAGAGGAUGAGGUAUCCUAAGGAGACUGAAGCAAUGGUUUUUGAAGACAUCUGGGACACAGGAAAUGCUCAGAGUCCGCUGGUGUUUGCGUUCUGAUGUUGCUGAUGUGUGACAAGGUCCACAUUCCCAGACCAAAAGGGAUGAUUUUUCUAUCCUGCUGUCUGCUCGGCCAGUAGAGGAGCACUAUAGGCAAGAACUAACUGGUGCAAACUGUGAUUACCAAAUAAGAUGAUUCACCACUUCCUGCUGUCAGAAAUAAUGGCACCUCUCAUUAUGGAUGCUGGUUGCGGAAUCACCAUCUGAAUGUCUACUCUCUGAAAGAUGUGUCUUCACAUACUGAUGGGUUUGUAUUUGGAUCUCUCCAAGAUCAGGGAGGCCUUAAGGAGCCACUGGAGAAAAUGCAGCAAACAGGGACCGAUGCAAACAGGUUCCAUGAAAGAGCAGCACUGGAAGGCACCUGGGUCUCCCCAGAGCCUGCAGCCAUUGCAGCCACCACAGCCUGGGCCACCUCACUGGCCUGGGAGUGCAUGAGCUCUCUGCUAUGACCUGGGAAAGCAGUAGAAGAUGGCCCAAGUCCUUGUGCCCCUGUACCUGCGUGGGAAACCUGGAAGAAGCUCCUAGCUCCUGGCUUCAGAUCGGCCCAGCUCCAGCCACUGAGGCCAUUUGGCUACCCUACCCUGGAAAGGCAGGGCUUAGCACUGCCCACUUUUCCAGAAGCCUCCAUGCUGACUGCGAAUUGCCUGUGCCGACUCCGGAGUUAAAUCUUCUCUUUGGGAUCCCAAAGACAUUGCUGCCUGAAGGGUAGAAGGUGUUUCCAUGUGCUUUUCCUCCUGUAACUCUCCCACUUGGUGGACUGCAUUGUCUUAGUAGGAUUGCUUUGAAGUCAAAAUUCAGGCUCCCCUAGGUUCCUUCCUAUUCCCAUAUAAAGCCACUGUGCAGCCCCAGUUCUCCACCCCUUCUUCUGCCCACAUUCUCUCCGGGUGAUUUUGCAGCUCCUCUCUCCAAGCAGUAGAGGCUGUCUCUACACUUUGAUUUGACUUGACUAUUCUUUUGGCCUGUUUUCAUCAAUAGCCUGUGAAACAAAAUCCAGGUCCAUAGCUGGUUCCAAGAAGCAUGGACACUUUUGGUUUCUAUUAAUCAUGAAAAUGAGAGUGAACUAUUGCACGGGAAGGUGAGAGACCACGUGGAGCAGAGACAGGUGAGCAUUGUCUGUCGUUCCAUUCGAGGCCCCAGGGGGGCUAACAAAAAUCAGCUAAGCCAUCUGGCUGAUGUGAAGACAGGAUAAGGAACACCUGGCCAGCAGAUCUACCCAGCCAUCCUGGGGAUGAGGGAGUGCGCAAAUGAUCAUUCCUUCAGGCACUGGAUUUUGUGAUAGUUUGCAACAUGGCAACGUCUAAUAGACAUAACCACAAGAAUUUAUUUCCAGUUCUGAUAUGGAUCCUGCUGUAAUCACUACCUGUAUGUGAGCUGAAGUAUUCAGCUCCCGACACAGUGACACUCCGCACAUCUCCCAACAAAAGUACUUAAUGAAUGGAAUCAUUGAAUUCACAUAAGUGGACAUUCGGAUUGUUUUCUAAUUUGAAAUCAGGCCAAAGUUUAUCUUUCUUUUUUAGUCAGCAUCCUCUUUUCUAAACUGUGUCUCUUUUGUAUUCUUAAUUUGAUGUUUGCUUCUUUUUCACUUUCAUUUAAAAAAGAAUGAAUAAUAAAUUUGAGUGUUUAAUAACUUUGCUACAUUUCUUUGGUAGAAGAUUUUGGAAAGUAGGAAGAAACAUAUGAAAAGAAGGACAAAUAAUUCCAAAUAAAAUAAGAAUGGAGGGGGAGCUGCGUUGUGGCGUUAGUUGGUAAAGCUACCACUGCCGGAUGUCAGUUUUGUGUCCUGGAUGCUCCACUUCCAAUCCAGAUCCCUGCUAAUGCCCUGGGAAAUGCAGCAGAGGAUGGUCCAAGUGCUUGGGCCCCUGCUACCCACAUGGGAGACCUGGAGGAAGCUCCUAGAUCCUGGCUUCAGCCCAGCCCAGCACUGGCCAUUGUGGCCAUCUGGGGAGUGAACCAGCGGAUGGAAGAUUUCUCAGUGUAUGUCUCUCCCUCUCUCUGUAACUCUGACUUUCAAAUAAAUAAAUCUUUUUUUAAAAGAAAAAGAAUGGAAAUUGAUCAUAUGCUUCUGUUGAUAAAAAUCUGAAUCACAGAACAAUUUUUAAAGGUGUUAUUGCAUAGCAAUAAGGCUUUAUACUUUUAUGUGGUUUUAAAUUGUCAGCACCUGUCCUACAUCUAAUACAUUAUCUGACCUUUGGAUUUUCCUUGAAUCUUCACUCUGAAGCUCAGGCAGUAAAAGUAAUUAUAAAUCUUUUUGAUUUGGUGACUCAGUCCUUGUGUUUAGAAUCCAGAAUAUGUUCAUGGAUUUCAAAAAGUUCAUGGAAAAUGGACUUAAAAGAUAAAUUUAUUUUGGUGCAAAAAUCUGAAAUCCAUGCACAUAAGGUGUCUGCAAAACUUUCAUUAAAAAUGUGUAUUGUCAAUUUGGGACAUGCUCAAUCGGACUUGCCCCAAAUGGUGGUGUUAGAAAUGUGGCAGGGGAUUCCAAUACAAUCCCAUCAAGAUGGCAUGUACCAAUGCCAUCUCACUAGUCCAAGCGGUCAUCUUCAGUUCACAAUUGAUCACACUGAUAGGUCUAAGAGUCAAAGGGAUCACACAAACAAGACUAGUGUCUGCUAAUACUAACUGAUAGAAUAAAAAAGGGAGAGAACGAUCUAACAGGGGAAGCAGGAGACACAGCAGACUCAUAAAAUGGCAGAUGUCCUAAAUAGCUCUCUGGCCUCAGAAUCAGCCCUUAAGGCAUUUGGAUCUGGCUCAAGAGCCCAUGAGAGUAUUUUAGGCAUGGAAAGCCAAGACACUCUGGGGAAAAAAAAAAAAAAGAAGAAGAAGAAGAACUAAUUGAAAGAUCCCUGCGAGUGAUAUCCCAGUCCAAAGAACAGGGCCAUGAAAGAAGGAGGUACCUUUCUCUGAAGGGAGGAGAGAACUUCCACUUUGACUAUGACCCUGUUGGAAUAAGAUCAAAGUCAGUGAACACUAAAGGCUUCCAUAGCCUUGGCAACUCAUGACUAGAGCCUAGGGAGAUUACUGACGCCAUAAACAAGAGUGUCAAAUUGUUAAAUCAACAACAGGAGUCACUGUGUACUUACAUCUCAUGUGGGAUCUGUCCUUAAUGUGUUGUCCAAUGUGAAGUAAUGCUAUAACUAGUACUGAAACAGUAUUUUACACUUUGUGUUUCUGUGUGUGUGCAAACUGAUGAAAUCUUUACUUAGUAUAUACUGAAUCGAUCUUCUGUAUAUAAAGAUAAUUGAAAAUGAAAAAAAACACUUGGUUUUAAAUUGGAAAUUGCAUAGAAAAUUAAUCAAUUUUUUAAAAAUAUCAUGUAGGAUCUCUGUACAUUAAGUGCUGUACACUGUUAUUUAAUGCUAUAACUAGUACUCCAACAGUAUUUUUCACUUUGUGUUGCUAUGUGGGGGGCAAGCUGUUGAAAUCUUUACUUAAUAUAUACUAAAUUGAUCUUCUGUAUAUAAAGAGAAUUGAAAAUGAAUCUUGAUGUGAA